rnacentral:rRNA from 1 species
UACGUAGGGUGCAAGCGUUUGUCCGGAAUUAUUGGGCGUAAAGAGCUCGUAGGCGGUCUGUCGCGUCUGGUGUGAAAAUCCAGGGCUUAACCCCUGGACCUGCAUCGGGUACGGGGCAGACUAGAGUGCGGUAGGGGGAGAUCGGAAUUCCUGGUGUAGCGGUGAAAUGCGCAGAUAUCAGGAAGAACACCCGUGGCUAAGGCGGCUCUCUAGUACGGGUACUGACGCUGAGACGCGAAAAGCGUGGGGGAGCGAACA